rnacentral:rRNA from 1 species
UUACAGGUAUUGAAUCCUCUGACAACCCUAGAGAUAGGGCUUCUCCUUCGGAGCAGAGUGACAGGUGGUGAUGGUGUCGUCAGCUCGUGUCGUGAGUGUUGGGUUAAGUCCCGCAACGAGCGCAACCCUUGAUCUUAGUUGCCAUCAUUCAGUUGGGCACUCUAAGGUGACUGCCGGCGACAAACCGGGGGAAGGGGGGAUGACGUCAAAUCAUCAUGCCCCUUAUGACCUGGGCUACACACGUGCUACAAUGGACGGUACAAAGAGCUGCAAGACCGCGAGUGGGCGCUAAUCUCAUAAAACCGUUCUCAGUUCGGAUUGUAGGCUGCAACUCGCCUACAUGAAGCUGGAAUCGCUAGUAAUCGCGGAUCAGCAUGCCGCGGGGAAUACAUUCCCGGGCCUUGUACACACCGCCCGUCACACCACGAGAGUUUGUAACACCCGAAGUCGGGGGGUACCUUUUGGGGCAGCCCUAAGGGG